rnacentral:rRNA from 1 species
UACGUAGGUGGCAAGCGUUGUCCGGAUUUAUUGGGUUUAAAGGGUGCGUAGGCGGUUCUAUAAGUCAGUGGUGAAAUCCGGCAGCUCAACUGUCGAUGUGCCAUUGAUACUGCAGAACUUGAGUACAGACGAGGUAGGCGGAAUUGACGGUGUAGCGGUGAAAUGCUUAGAUAUCGUCAAGAACACCGAUAGCGAAGGCAGCUUACUAGACUGUAACUGACGCUGAUGCACGAAAGUGUGGGGGAUCAAACAGG